AGGUAUGGCAUUCUGGCUGUGGUGUCUUUAGUCCUCCUUACCUCUAGAGUUGAUUCAGACUGUCCACCUGGCUAGGCAUCCAUCCCUUCCUCCUUCAACAUCCCAUACAUAUCCUUCCUGAAGUUGUGGUCUUGGGUAGAGAGGGCUUCUACCCUUCCUAAUGAUAUGAGAGACUUCUUUGUAUUAAGGACAUAUGAAUAGAUGAAGAACCUUUAAACUAGCUCUGGAGGUCCAUUUGUAGUUUACAAGAUGAUAGACACAUGUUAGGCAGUAUGUGGCCAUCUGUUUUG
rfam:Rattus norvegicus chromosome 4, whole genome shotgun sequence.